rnacentral:rRNA from 1 species
GACGAACGCUGGCGGCGUGCUUAACACAUGCAAGUCGAACGGAAAGGCCCUGCUUUUGUGGGGUGCUCGAGUGGCGAACGGGUGAGUAACACGUGAGUAACCUGCCCUUGACUUUGGGAUAACUUCAGGAAACUGGGGCUAAUACCGGAUAGGAGCUCCUGCUGCAUGGUGGGGGUUGGAAAGUUUCGGCGGUUGGGGAUGGACUCGCGGCUUAUCAGCUUGUUGGUGGGGUAGUGGCUUACCAAGGCUUUGACGGGUAGCCGGCCUGAGAGGGUGACCGGCCACAUUGGGACUGGGAUACGGCCCAGACUCCUACGGGAGGCAGCAGUGGGGAAUAUUGCACAAUGGGCGGAAGCCGGAUGCAGCAAAGCGGCGUGCGGGAUGACGGACUUCGGGUUGUAAACCGCUUUCGCCUGGGACGAAGCGUGAGUGACGGUAAUGGGUAAAGAAGCACCGGCUAACUACGUG